rnacentral:rRNA from 1 species
AGUGAACGCUGGCGGUAGGCCUAACACAUGCAAGUCGAACGGCAGCACAGUAAGAGCUUGCUCUUACGGGUGGCGAGUGGCGGACGGGUGAGGAAUACAUCGGAAUCUACUUUUUCGUGGGGGAUAACGUAGGGAAACUUACGCUAAUACCGCAUACGACCUACGGGUGAAAGCAGGGGAUCUUCGGACCUUGCGCGAUUGAAUGAGCCGAUGUCGGAUUAGCUAGUUGGCGGGGUAAAGGCCCACCAAGGCGACGAUCCGUAGCUGGUCUGAGAGGAUGAUCAGCCACACUGGAACUGAGACACGGUCCAGACUCCUACGGGAGGCAGCAGUGGGGAAUAUUGGACAAAGGGCGCAAGCCUGAUCCAGCCAUACCGCGUGGGUGAAGAAGGCCUUCGGGUUGUAAAGCCCUUUUGUUGGGAAAGAAAAGCAGCAGGUUAAUACCCCGCUGUUCUGACGGUACCCAAAGAAUAAGCACCGGCUAGCCUCGUG